UGUCUAAUUAACUUGGGGACUUGUGUU
rnacentral:piRNA from 1 species